GUGGGGAAUCUUCCGCAAUGGACGAAAGUCUGACGGAGCAACGCCGCGUGAGUGAAGAAGUAUUUCGGUACGUAAAGCUCUAUCAGCAAGGAAGAAAAUGACGGUACUUGACUAAGAAGCCCCGGCUAACUACGUGCCAGCAGCCGCGGUAAUACGUAGGGGGCAAGCGUUAUCCGGAAUGAUUGGGCGUAAAGGGCGCGUAGGCGGCCUGGUAAGUCUGGAGUGAAAGUCCUGCUUUUAAGGUGGGAAUUGCUUUGGAUACUGUCGGGCUUGAGUGCAGGAGAGGUAAGUGGAAUUCCCGGUGUAGCGGUGAAAUGCGUAGAGAUCGGGAGGAACACCAGUGGCGAAGGCGACUUACUGGACUGUAACUGACGCUGAGGCGCGAAAGUGUGGGGAGCAAACAGGAUUAGAAACCCCAGUAGUCC
rnacentral:rRNA from 1 species